rnacentral:rRNA from 1 species
CGGUGUCAGGGUAUGGAAGCAGAGAGAAGAGGUGUCGCUGGAUGGGUGGGCUGGGUCGGGUGGAACUUUAGAGAGGGCGGCGGCGCGGCAUGCGGCCUCGGAUCGCGGUGGCGGGCGGCGGAGUUAGGGUGCGGGGGGUUGGGGAGGCGGAGAGUGCGCGCAGCAGCGGUGGCGGCAGGCGCGGGAAGGGGUGGCGCCGUAGCGCGGGGACGACAGAGGUCAGGUGGGGCGGGAGUUAGAGAUCGGUAACCCAAGACUCCAUGCUCGAACAAAAGUGGGACACUAAGCAAUAUGGUGUGACUGGGGGCGUCAAGGAUCCGCGCGGCCGCGCGUAGGCCGUGUGGGAUCUAGGCGGGGGACUUGGGGCUCCAGAGCGGCGCCGUCUUUAGCCCGCCUCCAUCCUAACGCACGAGUACCCCUCAGCCUUUUACCGCAGUGUCGUCCCCGCACCGCUGCGGCCGUGCAGUGUCGGCCCCGCGCCGCUGCGGCCGUGUAGCGUCGCGCCGGUCCACGUCUCGGACCGCUCCGUCCCCAGAGACAUGUCGGAGUGGGAGCUGCUCCACGUCUUGGUAGACCCUCUCGGGGACGUCUCGUACUUGGAGCUGCUCGACGAGUCCUGGCACAAAGGACUGCUGGACCUCGGGCUACCGCGCUGGUGGUCGGUCACACACGGCUCGAGUUCGGAGGACGCGGUCCCGUCGUAGUGGUACGGCUGGCUCGAGUCGUUCUUCUGCCACCUACUCCACACCUUCCCGUAGGUCCUCUGUGGGUUCUCCUCACAGGUCCCCUCACCAGCCGCGUUCGCCCUCUCCGUCGGGUGCGAGCCCCUCUACUGUGAGCUCCUAAAGAACCAGGUUCGUCCCCAACAAAGGGUCCCUAAAGAGUUCCUGUGCUCGCUACAACCGUUAAACCCAGACUACCCCUCUCCACGGUGUCGUCGACCUCGGUGGCUAAACUGUAGACCCCGUGUCACCAAUCCGGUCAUGGUCGUCGUCUAACGUCGAAGUCGGUAGUUGUGAGUAGUCGUACACGUUGUUUAACACGGUCGACGAAUAUACGGGUAAGUCAAUCAGGGAGUCGGUGACUUACAACAACCGGGACCACGGUGAGACCCCAGACGAAUGAGACUACCUGUCUCAUGUAGUGGUUACUAGUCAGGUUAGAGACUAAGAGUCUGUGGACCCUCUUUCGCACCACAUAGUCCUCUACAGGGGUUAUUCAAACACCUCUCUUCCGUCUUCUCCUACUAGUUCUUAUCCCUCAGCCGACGGGCAAGUUCCCGAUCCUUCGUCCGGAUGUGAUUACUUGAGCUUUUGUUCCAUAGGGCAAACCUUCUCCUCUUACUCUCCGAUUUCUUCGUUUUCCUCAACUUGUACUACGAAACGAGCCACGGAGAUGGUCUUGGGUUCAUGGUUGAGUCCUCUUGUACGAGCCGGCGAAAGACUGACACAGGUCUUAUGAAACGGAACAUCUAAAAUUUCACCGCCGCGAGCAUUCCAAACGGAGAAGCCAAAUCUUAGCAAACGCUCGGACCCUCAAGGAAAAACCGAAAUAGGAACGGGUCACUAAAGGCCACACAUCUAGUCGCCCUCGGAUCGUACACGACACAAUCGUGAACCGUGAAAAUAAAUGGACACACGCCUCCGGGACGGUGGUCGGAUCAUACAUUUAGACGACCUGAGUAAAAUUUCAAUAGCCUCGAAAGAACUGUACCCGACGAGAAAGUACAUUUACGUCUCGCCAUACGUUAAACGACAGGAAAAAGGAAGGCUC